rnacentral:lncRNA from 1 species
GUGGGAUCACUGGCUUUAAUUCACUCAGCUCCUCUCACAGAGAUCAAGGUAGCAACAAAACACUUUAAUGCACAUGUCCCCCCCACUGGGGAAUGACAAGGGGGCAAAUCUUCAUCAAUAUCAUUUUGGAGGAUGAUAGUGGAACAUAUUUUUAUCUGUAGAGUUUAUUGUUGUAAUGGAUGUUUCUUGUUUUCUGUGAUUUUUAUUAGCAGUUUCAUAUUGCUGCACUUCCAAGUCCAGCUCAGAUCUGAGGAAAAGAAAGAAAACACCAAAAGCAGAGUUUCUCAGAUCUGCUCAUCAAAAGGGGUUUAGGAGGAGGUGGCCUGGUGCUGAUUCCAGGUUAUCAUCAGAAAAUCCUCAAAUCCUUCCAAAUCCAUUUAACCACGGUUGAAUUUCAGGGAUAAAAGUGCAUAAAUUAGAGAUGUUAAAGGUGAGUUUUUGCCAGCAUCCAGCUCCAGGUGCUCCCAGUGUUGAGGAUCCCAGGACCAUCCCACACCAGGCACAGCCAGCAAGGCCCCAGUGCCCCUUGGUGAGCUGAAAAUGAGGCAAAAACCUGCUGGUUUGGGUUUCAGAGUGAAAUGUGAGCUCCUACUGGGAGAACUUGAAUGAAAUCUAUCCAAUGGACAGAUGAGGAAUCACCCUGGAACUUCUCCAGGUUCCUGGUUGUGGGUUGAUGCCCUUGGGAGUAGCGGAGCCUCCUCUUGAGGUGUCUGCUGGUCUGGUCACCAUCAUCAUCAUCAUCAUCAUCGCCACCAUCAUCAUCAUCAUCACCAUCACCACCAGCCCUCUGCUCUCCUGACACAACCUUCUCUCUCUGUUCUUUGCAGCUGACAGAGGUGCCAACAGCUGGGGCGUGCCAGAUGUAUUUUAUGAUCCUCAGGCCUUGGUGGAUUUUUUGCCUGGAUCCAGAAAGGUGCCGCAGAGGAUCAUCCUGCAGGUGAAGCAGCCGGGCCCCACCACACUGGCCCUGCUCCCCAGCCCAGCCAGCUGUGUCCUGGGCAGUGGCCAGGGGCCAGGGCCACCAGCCCACAACCCCCCUGGCCACCCCCAUUGUGCCACCCUGUCACCCUACGGCCACCAGCUCCCUGCAGCAGCAGCAGCAGCCCAGCACAGCAGCAUCCCCACGGCCAAGGCGGUGGGAAUUGAGCUGUGGCACGGGGAAAGCUUCUGGGGCCUGCAGCCAAAAUGGGGGAAACUGGACUCCUAUGUUUCCUAUUUUUAAUAAAACUCUUGAUGGAAAGUGCCAUGAGGAUCCACAGGGAGAUUAUUUAACAGAAAGAUGC